GUUGCGUAAAGAUGCUCGCCAAGGCGGCCGCCAAGAGGAGCAUUCCGCCGCCGAUAUAAGCAAUGGCCGUGCUAAGGCUUCGUUUAGUUUGUGCUCAAGUCGGCAAAGGAUUCUCACAGGUGAAAUUCAUAAUAGGGUGGUCUUGGAUCUAUGGUAUAACAUUUGUAUUGCUCAGUAGUGGAGCUUUGAAAACUCCGCCAUGAAUUUUGAGACGCCCACAAUACCGGCCUUUUAUGAGGGGCGCUCCGUCUUCAUUACUGGUGCAACAGGAUUUAUUGGAAAGGUCUUACUGGAGAAACUGCUACGUUCAUGUCCCGGAAUCAAGUAUGUUUAUAUCCUAAUGAGAGAGAAAAAAGGAAAAGAACCAAGACUGCGCCUCGAGGAACUUCUGAAUUGCAAGGUAUUUGAUCGUUUAAAGAAAGAGAAGCCCGAAGCUAUUCAAAAAGUAAUUGGCAUUACAGGAGAUCUUUCAUUGCCUCAGCUGGGAGUGUCUCCUGCUGAUCUUGCAGCCAUGGCAAAAAACGUGUCUAUCGUCUUCCAUUCAGCGGCCACAGUCAAAUUUGACGAACCUCUAAAGCAAGCUAUCGACAUGAACGUUCUGGCAACUAGGCGGAUGAUCGAACUGUGUCAUAAGUUACCAAACAUUGUCGCUGUGAUUCAUGUGUCGACAGCGUACGCAAAUUGCAACAGAAAACAGGUAGACGAAGUUGUCUAUCCUGCUCCAAUUCCUCCAAAUCAAAUCAUAGAAGCGACAGAAUGGAUGGAACCAGCGUUACUAGAUUCAAUCACACCAAAACUAAUAGGAGACCGACCGAAUACUUACACUUUCACCAAAGCACUAGCGGAGAAUCUUCUUGUUGAUGAAUGUGGUUCUCUGCCAGUGGCGAUUGUUCGGCCUUCUAUUGUCAGCGCUGCAUGGAAAGAGCCCUAUCCGGGAUGGAUCGACAAUCUGAAUGGUCCUGCUGGAAUAAUUGUCGCGGGCGGCAAGGGCGUUCUGCGAACUAUGAUCAUUCAUGGUGAAGUGACCGCUGAUAUCAUACCUGUGGAUGUGGUCGUUAACCUUAUGAUCGCAGUUGCGUGGUACACGGCUACGCAAAGACCGAAUAGCAUCUUGGUAUACAACUGCACCUCUGGAUCACUAAACAAAACUACAUGGGAUGAUAUAAUGGCAGUGACGUAUCCAUACCUACUCAAGUAUCCUAGCGCUGAACUUUUCCGGUAUCCCAAAGGUAGUUUCCGUCGAAAUCAAACCAUCAACACCAUGUGUAUAGCAUUUCAACACUAUCUUCCAGCUCUGUUUGUAGAUCUCAUGGCAUAUCUCUUUUUUCAGAAACCUGGGUUUUCUUUUUUGAUAUCCGUAAGCUAAACUGGUCUUACUUUUGGGAAAAUCAUGUUUUAGGUUGUCGGAAAUUCAUACUGAAAGAAGAUCCGUCUACGAUACCAGCUGCGAGAAAGAGUCUGAGAAGGAGAUACUUCAUCUCUCAGUUCAUUCACUUCUUGGUGGCAGUAGGCGUCUGGAAGAUAUUUUUCUCUCGUAUAUUUUCGGUCAGCAAUGUGUGGUAUGCCUUGUCUGCUACAGCUCUGAAAGUCCACGGAUUGAUGCAGG
rnacentral:misc_RNA from 1 species